rnacentral:rRNA from 1 species
UACGGGGGGGGCAAGCGUUGUUCGGAAUUACUGGGCGUAAAGGGCUCGUAGGUGGCCAACUAAGUCAGACGUGAAAUCCCUCGGCUUAACCGGGGAACUGCGUCUGAUACUGGAUGGCUUGAGUUCGGGAGAGGGAUGCGGAAUUCCAGGUGUAGCGGUGAAAUGCGUAGAUAUUCGGAAGAACACCAGUGGCGAAGGCGGCUCACUGGUCCGGUACUGACGCUGAGGUGCGAAAGCGUGGGGAGCAAACAGG